rnacentral:tRNA from 1 species
GCCCUGGUGGCGCAGAUGGUUAAGCUCUUGGCUGCUAACCAAAAGAUUGGUAGUUCGAGUCCACCCAGAGGUG